UACAGAGGUCUCAAGCGUUGUUCGGAUUCAUUGGGCGUAAAGGGUGCGUAGGCGGCGCGGUAAGUCGGGUGUGAAAUCUCGGAGCUUAACUUCGAAACUGCAUUCGAUACUGCCGUGCUUGAGGACUGGAGAGGAGACUGGAAUUUACGGUGUAGCGGUGAAAUGCGUAGAGAUCGUGAGGAAGACCAGUGGCGAAGGCGGGUCUCUGGACAGUUCCUGACACUGAGGCACGAAGGC
rnacentral:rRNA from 1 species